GUAUCCUCUCUGGGUGAGUCCUGUAACCAUAGAAGUUAGAGCGUAUCCAGUCACCCUUGACAUUGGAAGUGAGAGCUUGAUCCAGUCACUAUGGGGAUACAGGGCUUGUGGUCGCUGCUGGAGGACCGGAGCCACAUCUACCAGGACAUUCGCUUCAGGGACAGCAAGCUGCUGGUGGACGGCACUAACCUGGCCUUCUACCUGUACGACAGGUCCAACCUGGACCAGAACCGUGGCGGGGAGUACCUGGCCUAUCAGGUCCAGGUCCAGGCUCUCUUCACGGCUCUAGGUGACUGUGGAAUCAAACCGUACGUGGUGAUGGACGGAGGCACGGGCGCCAGUGACAUCAGACUUAACAUCAGAGAGGACCGUCAAAGACGCCUUCUCCGGAUUGCCCAGGGCGCCGCUCUGAAGGGCAGGAGGGCGGGCAUCCUCCCCCCCUUUACCACGACAGUGUUCGAACAGACGCUGAACGACAUGAAGGUGCCGCUGGUCAGGUGCUUCGGAGAGGCCGACGGCCAGCUGGCUGCUCUGGCCAGAGAGUGGAGCUGCCCGGUGCUGUCCGGAGACACUGACUUCUACAUCUACGACCUUCCAGAGGGGGUUCUGCCACUCAAACACUUCCUGUGGGACUCAUGGGAGACGAGACAGAACAGUAGUUACAUCCCCUGCAAGCGAUACACCACGGCCAGCUUCUGCACCUUCUUCAACAUCGACCCCCAGCUCCUGCCCUUCUUCGCCUCACUAGCCGGGAACGACCACGACUGCCUCAGAAAAAUUCCCUGGGCCCGAUUCCUUCCAGCGGACUGCCCCAGGAAAAGGAUAAAGGUCCCCCGCCUGGAGGGCCUCCUGAGUUGGCUGGGAGCCAGGACAGACCAGACGGCAGAAGACAUCUUGACAGCAGCGAUGGAUAUACCCCACCUGAGUCAACAGGUCGAGACGGAGGUGCAGACGGAGGUGCAGACGGAGGUGCAGAAGGAGGUGCAGACGGCCAUGCUGGAGUACCGGCUCCCCAGCUCCUCUCUGCGGGGGUUCUUCAGUGAGGGGACCGCACCGUCGCUGCCCGCUGAGAUGUUGAGCUGGGCCCCUGAGUGGGUCCGUGCGUGCCUGGCCAGAGGAGACCUGGGAGCUGACGUAUUUGUGCACAGGCGGAAGAUUCUCCGCAUCCAGGUGGAGCACUUCGAUCUACAGAGCUCCAACCUCACCUCGCGGCCUCUCAGACAGGUGUUGUACGGGCUGCUGCUGGGCCAAGGGGGGGGUGAGGUGCUGGAGGUGGACCGGGUCGGUCUGGAGCUCGUCAGUGUCAAGGUGCGACCGCUGGUCCAAGGAACCGCUCAGACACUGAGGCUGGACUCUCUGCCCCAGGCAGACCCCGCUGUGAGGCUGCGGGUGUGUCUGGAGACGCUGGGCGUGGAGAGAGACGCUGGAGGGAGUUCCGGCUCACCUGCGCCUCCCAGUGGCUGUGACCUGCUACUGGUGGAGGAGGGCCAGCCCUGAACUGACGCUCCUCAAAGCUCUGCUGAUAGUCAUGGUCCAAGGAGAACUGAACCGACAGACAGGAGGGACAACAGGCUGGCAGGGAUAUACCAACCACCACUCUCAGCCUCUGGACGGUGUCAUGACUCACAGCCUCAACCAAUGGCAGGCCUGCCUGAAGGACGCCUCCCAGCUCAACCUGGUGCUCUGCAUGCCUAUCCCUGAACCCCACUACGCCUGGUUGUACCAGGGCAGGCUGGUGCACCAGCGGCAGAAGCAGCUCCAGGAGAGGGAGCCAGAGGUGGAAAAUGCCAACUUCGUCAGUCUGUACAGGAGGCUCCUGGGAGCAGUGCUCCGGCCAGACCCAGGGGCCAACAGGAUGGCUGGGGGGCCUGAGGCCCAGCUGAGGGCCAGCAUGGAGCACCUUCAC